GGCCCGGUAGCGCAGUUGGUAACGUGCCGUCGAAAGCAUGCCUCUUCUGCACAUUGAGUCUCGACGGAGUCCCUUGUUCGAAUCAAGGUCGGGCCA